rnacentral:rRNA from 1 species
UACGUAGGGUGCAAGCGUUAAUCGGAAUUACUGGGCGUAAAGCGUGCGCAGGCGGUUUUGUAAGUCUGUCGUGAAAUCCCCGGGCUCAACCUGGGAAUGGCGAUGGAGACUGCAAGGCUAGAGUUUGGCAGAGGGGGGGUAGAAUUCCACGUGUAGCAGUGAAAUGCGUAGAUAUGUGGAGGAACACCGAUGGCGAAGGCAGCCCCCUGGGUCAAAACUGACGCUGAGGCGCGAAAGCGUGGGGAGCGAUCCGG